rnacentral:rRNA from 1 species
AGUGAACGCUGGCGGUAGGCCUAACACAUGCAAGUCGAACGGCAGCACAGUAAGAGCUUGCUCUUACGGGUGGCGAGUGGCGGACGGGUGAGGAAUACAUCGGAAUCUACUUUUUCGUGGGGGAUAACGUAGGGAAACUUACGCUAAUACCGCAUACGACCUACGGGGGAAAGCAGGGGAUCUUCGGACCUUGCGCGAUUGAAUGAGCCGAUGUCGGAUUAGCUAGUUGGCGGGGUAAAGGCCCACCAAGGCGACGAUCCGUAGCUGGUCUGAGAGGAUGAUCAGCCACACUGGAACUGAGACACGCUCCAGACUCCUACGGGAGGCAGCAGUGGGGAAUAUUGGACAAUGGGCGCAAGCCUGAUCCAGCCAUACCGCGUGGGUGAAGAAGGCCUUCGGGUUGUAAAGCCCUUUUGUUGGGAAAGAAAAGCAGCAGGUUAAUACCCCGCUGUUCUGACGGUACCCAAAGAAUAAGCACCGGCUAACUUCGUG